rnacentral:rRNA from 1 species
GAUGAACGCUAGCUACAGGCUUAACACAUGCAAGUCGAGGGGCAGCAUCAUCAAAGCUUGCUUUGAUGGAUGGCGACCGGCGCACGGGUGAGUAACACGUAUCCAACCUGCCGACAACACUGGGAUAGCCUUUCGAAAGAAAGAUUAAUACCGGAUGGCAUAGUUUUCCCGCAUGGGAUAAUUAUUAAAGAAUUUCGGUUGUCGAUGGGGAUGCGUUCCAUUAGGCAGUUGGCGGGGUAACGGCCCACCAAACCAACGAUGGAUAGGGGUUCUGAGAGGAAGGUCCCCCACAUUGGAACUGAGACACGGUCCAAACUCCUACGGGAGGCAGCAGUGAGGAAUAUUGGUCAAUGGACGAGAGUCUGAACCAGCCAAGUAGCGUGAAGGAUGACUGCCCUAUGGGUUGUAAACUUCUUUUAUACGGGAAUAAAGUGAGCCACGUGUGGCUUUUUGUAUGUACCGUAUGAAUAAGGAUCGGCUAACUCCGUGCCAGCAGCCGCGGUAAUACGGAGGAUCCGAGCGUUAUCCGGAUUUAUUGGGUUUAAAGGGAGCGUAGGCGGGUUGUUAAGUCAGUUGUGAAAGUUUGCGGCUCAACCGUAAAAUUGCAGUUGAUACUGGCGACCUUGAGUGCAACAGAGGUAGGCGGAAUUCGUGGUGUAGCGGUGAAAUGCUUAGAUAUCACGAAGAACUCCGAUUGCGAAGGCAGCUUACUGGAUUGUAACUGACGCUGAUGCUCGAAAGUGUGGGUAUCAAACAGGAUUAGAUACCCUGGUAGUCCACACAGUAAACGAUGAAUACUCGCUGUUGGCGAUAUACAGUCAGCGGCCAAGCGAAGGCAUUAAGUAUUCCACCUGGGGAGUACGCCGGCAACGGUGAAACUCAAAGGAAUUGACGGGGGCCCGCACAAGCGGAGGAACAUGUGGUUUAAUUCGAUGAUACGCGAGGAACCUUACCCGGGCUUAAAUUGCAACUGACUGAACCGGAAACGGUUCUUUCUUCGGACAGUUGUGAAGGUGCUGCAUGGUUGUCGUCAGCUCGUGCCGUGAGGUGUCGGCUUAAGUGCCAUAACGAGCGCAACCCUUACGGGUAGUUACCAUCAGGUUAUGCUGGGGACUCUACCCGGACUGCCGUCGUAAGAUGUGAGGAAGGUGGGGAUGACGUCAAAUCAGCACGGCCCUUACGUCCGGGGCUACACACGUGUUACAAUGGGGGGUACAGAAGGCAGCUACACGGCGACGUGGUGCUAAUCCCAAAAGCCUCUCUCAGUUCGGAUUGGAGUCUGCAACCCGACUCCAUGAAGCUGGAUUCGCUAGUAAUCGCGCAUCAGCCACGGCGCGGUGAAUACGUUCCCGGGCCU